AAGUCUAACAUGGACAUGAAUGCACCCUUUUUCUGCAUCAAGGUUCAUCUGGACCCGUGGAGUAAGUUUAACCACUGUGACAGAAGAUUCUCCAAGGAGAAGGUGUGGAGCCUCCAUGUACUGCUGGGCAUGAACAGUGGCAGAGCAAACAGGCCAGGGAAUUGAGAUGUGAGUGGAAUCUAAGGACACAUGUGACAACAAUAUACUGCAUUAACCUGGAAAUGGGUCACCAGCUUGGCCAGAGAUGUCGGACUCCAAGCCUCGAAGACCUGCACCCUGAAUGUUCUGCUGCUCAUUACCUGUGUGUGUUCUACCAAUAAGUAGUAAAUGUAGGGAAUUAAAAUUCCUAAAUUGACUUUAUUAUUCGUCUAUGCUUU